CCUACAGAUGCCUGCACUAUAAUAGCUGAUCCCACAUGCCAGGUCUUACAGAAUGAGGCAUGUGACCCCGUUGACAUCACUGACCAGUGUUUGCUGACCAUAAGAAGGGCCUUCAAUGAAUCUGGAACCUAUUGUGUAAACAUCACCCUGGGAGAUGCAACAAGCCUGGCUCUCACAAGUACUCUAAUAUCCAUCAGUGGAGCUGCAGGGUCAUUUUCAAGAACAGCAGAAGGAGUUCUCAUCGCCUGUGGUUUCUUGGUGGUGUUUGCUGCUGUAUUGACUUUCUUCCUCUACAAGAGAUACAAAGAAUACAAGCCUAUUAACCGGAACACAGGACAAGCAGCCAGUACUGAGGGGCUAAAUGUUUACUUCAACCGUUUUAAGGCUGUUCUCUUCCCAGCAAACAAUGAGAAGGAUCCACUCUUAAAAAACAAUCUUGGGAUUAUCUAACUCUCUAGCAUAAAUUCAGCUGUUUCCAUUAAUUUGGGGCUUUACGUUGAAUUGUAGUUCAAUGGAAGCAUACAUUGUUCAAACGAAGAGUUCUGACACGUUGCCAACAUGUGCAGAAGUAAUAGCAGUAACUGCUGUUCAGUUCAUUUAGAAGUAUAAAAUGGCACUUCUUUGAGAAAUGGAACAUUUUAUUUGCUUAUGCUCUUAGUUAUGCUACAGUAUAUUAGGUUAAAAACAUUUAAAAUUAUUAUUUAUAUACCAUUUCCUAAAUUAAUUAUUCAGAAAUAUCAGAAGAUAUGUUUUGGGGAGAAGAUUUUCCUCUGAAGAACUUCAGCUGAAGUCCUAGGGGAGUCAGUCCCACUGAGCUGGGGAAGAAUUAUGUCUGAGUUUCCCCUGUUCCGUGGUGAGACGUGCACAUUAUUCAGUUUGGCAAGUUUGAAAACUGUAAUUGGCACCUGUAAAAGGACCAGUAUUCAGCCACUCUGUAUAUCAUUUAGGCAGAUGACAUCAAAUUAGACUGACAGGGCCAAAUUGCUCUAGUGAGUUGCUGUCUGUUUCCUCCAUCCUCUGCACUACCGGCGAACAGUUCUCCUAUCUGUAUGAAGACGAGCAUGGUACACAAUGGGCACUGAAUUAGUUGAGGCACAGUUCCCUUGGGAUGUACUUGGGGAUGUCCACAGGCAGCACAUUAAUAUCUUGACACCUACCUACUCAUGAGUCUUCAGCCCACAAUAAUUUCUCCCUCCCUUUGCUUUGGCAGAACACAAAGUGGUAUGGAGUUGUCUUGUACCAUAUUGCAUUUCAUUUCCUGAAAGGGGUGUAUUUGGAAGUGUGAAAAGUUUUUUACAUGCAUGGGCUCUGCCACAAAGAUGAUAUGCUUGCAUUAUUUCAAUUUAGAAUCGGGGACCAAAACAAAGCCUCCCCUAUAUCCCCCCCCCCAAUUGCUAAGCAUUCCAAUGUGCUUACUGCAACAGCUGUUGUCCUAGCAGUCAAGAAACCUCAUGCUGGUGUGUGGAACCAGCUGAUUCACCCACACUCUUCUAACUUGGUAUACUCCAAGUUCACAAUGGUGCAAGUGGUGGAACCAACUUUUAGUUUAUUGGUACAGUAUUAGGAUACUGGAUCAAAGGUGUUCCAGAAGGUUGGAAAAUAGAUCUUCAAAAAAAUAUCAGUAUUCUGCAAACAUUAGUGAAGAAAUCUUAUUUUAGAAAGGUUUGGCAAUGUGAAUUAGUUCCACCAGCUUCAUUUUUUACUCCUGGCGUAGGCAUACAAACACAUAUAUAAAAAGCUAGAGGGUACGUGUAAGUGAUUGUGGAGCCAAUAUCUGUAAUUUGAUUUCUCAGCAUGGGUUUAGGUCAUAAGAAGCAGUUGUGGGAAAUGGGGGUCCAGUUGAGAUCCAGGCCAAAGCAACUGGGUAAGGGUGGGGAUUAACGCUUUCCCUUCAAGCGUUUUCUCAGUUGAAACUGGCCUACCCAGGCUGCAAGGAGGCAUCCCAUGGCUGCCUUCUUUCCUUAUAAGAACAUUCCAGGAAAUGGUAUGGUGAAAAAGAGUUAAAGCUUCCCUUUCCCAGUACUAUGGCUCCAACCCCCCACCCCACACAGCUGAUUUUAAGGUUAAAAAACACACUGAGAAAUGAAGGAGAGAUGACGCAUGCAUCUUUUGCCUCGUAGGAAGCAAGACUGUGAUUUCAGUCUGAAGUAAAAGGUGGUAAGAACAGGAUAUUCCAUUUAUUACAACCUGUCAGUUUGGAAGGAAUAGCAAGUUAAAGCCCAUAUAUUUCUGUUAAUGGAAUGCAACAUGCUACAUAGGCACUGCCAUGUAUAUCCAGGACUUUUAGAAACUGUAGUUUUGAGGUAUGCUGUAAAAAUAUAAUAUGUAUAAUAUUUUAAUCUGUGAGCAUCCUUACUAAAUCUUCUAAGGGGUAUCUGGCCAUGAGAGAGAGAGGCCUUUUCUCAUGCAAUUUACAAUAAAUAUCUUAUUUUAACCCACAUAAACUGCUGGUGUUCAGACUUCCAUAUCUUUCCCAAUACCAACAAAACCGCAUUAAUCCCUGCCACAACCAUCAAGUUUGGAAAAUUUAGGCAGAACCAGAGGGGUCUUGCCUUUUCUCUAUUGCCUGUUUCAUUCUUUACAGCAUAAGUAUUCUUAAUGUUAGGCCUCUUUACGUGCUCCAAAUUUCCGACAUGGACAUCUUUACCAGGCACAGCAAUAACUUGUGUAUGGAGUCAUGGGCAAUUGUGCAUGGGUUUUGGGUUUCCUGUGUGUAUACU